CUCAGGAUGAACGCUAGCUACAGGCUUAACACAUGCAAGUCGAGGGGCAGCGAGAGGAAAGCUUGCUUCCUUGUCGGCGACCGGCGCACGGGUGAGUAACGCGUAUCCAACCUUCCCCUUAGUAGGGCAUAGCCCGUAGAAAUGCGGAUUAAUACCCUAUGUUUUCCGAUGAGGACAUCUGAGCUGGAACAAAGGUUUACCGCUAAGGGAUGGGGAUGCGUCUGAUUAGGCAGCAGGCGGGGUAACGGCCCACCUGGCCGACGAUCAGUAGGGGUUCUGAGAGGAAGGUCCCCCACAUUGGAACUGAGACACGGUCCAAGCUCCUACGGGAGGCAGCAGUGAGGAAUAUUGGUCAAUGGGCGCGAGCCUGAACCAGCCAAGUAGCGUGCAAGGAUGACGGCCCUAUGGGUUGUAAACUGCUUUUAUGCGGGGAUAAAGUCACCCACGUGUGGGUGUUUGUAGGUACCGCAUGAAUAAGGACCGGCUAAUUCCGUGCCAGCAGCUGC
rnacentral:rRNA from 1 species